rnacentral:rRNA from 1 species
CAGCCGUAAACUAUGCUCGCUAGGUGUCAGGCAUGGCGCGACCGUGUCUGGUGCCGCAGGGAAGCCGUGAAGCGAGCCACCUGGGUAGUACGGCCGCAAGGCUGAAACUUAAAGGAAUUGGCGGGGGAGCACAACAACGGGUGGAGCCUGCGGUUUAAUUGGACUCAACGCCGGACAACUCACCGGGAACGACAGCAAUAUGUAGGCCAGGCUGAAGACCUUGCCUGAAUCGCUGAGAGGAGGUGCAUGGCGUAGACGUCU